UGCAGUCGAGCGGACAGAUGGGAGCUUGCUCCCUGAUGUUAGCGGCGGACGGGUGAGUAAUACGUGGGUAACCUGCCUGUAAGACUGGGAUAACUCCGGGAAACCGGGGCUAAUACCGGAUGCUUGUUUGAACCGCAUGGUUCAAACAUAAAAGGUGGCUUCGGCUACCACUUACAGAUGGACCCGCGGCGCAUUAGCUAGUUGGUGAGGUAAUGGCUCACCAAGGCAACGAUGCGUAGCCGACCUGAGAGGGUGAUCGGCCACACUGGGACUGAGACACGGCCCAGACUCCUACGGGAGGCAGCAGUAGGGAAUCUUCCGCAAUGGACGAAAGUCUGACGGAGCAACGCCGCGUGAGUGAUGAAGGUUUUCGGAUCGUAAAGCUCUGUUGUUAGGGAAGAACAAGUACCGUUCGAAUAGGGCGGUACCUUGACGGUACCUAACCAGAAAGCCACGGCUAACUACGUGCCAGCAGCCGCGGUAAUACGUAGGUGGCAAGCGUUGUCCGGAAUUAUUGGGCGUAAAGGGCUCGCAGGCGGUUCCUUAAGUCUGAUGUGAAAGCCCCCGGCUCAACCGGGGAGGGUCAUUGGAAACUGGGGAACUUGAGUGCAGAAGAGGAGAGUGGAAUUCCACGUGUAGCGGUGAAAUGCGUAGAGAUGUGGAGGAACACCAGUGGCGAAAGGCGACUCUCUGGUCUGUAA
rnacentral:rRNA from 1 species